rnacentral:rRNA from 1 species
UACGUAGGGUGCGAGCGUUGUCCGGAAUUACUGGGCGUAAAGAGCUCGUAGGUGGUUUGUCGCGUUGUUCGUGAAAACUCACAGCUUAACUGUGGGCGUGCGGGCGAUACGGGCAGACUGGAGUACUGCAGGGGAGACUGGAAUUCCUGGUGUAGCGGUGGAAUGCGCAGAUAUCAGGAGGAACACCGGUGGCGAAGGCGGGUCUCUGGGACGGUACUGACGCUGAGGCGCGAAAGCGUGGGGAGCAAACAGG